UACGUAGGGUGCGAGCGUUGUCCGGAAUUAUUGGGCGUAAAGAGCUCGUAGGCGGUGUGUCGCGUCGGCCGUGAAAACCUGCAGCUUAACUGUGGGCUUGCGGUCGAUACGGGCAUCACUGGAGUUCGGCAGGGGAGACUGGAAUUCCUGGUGUAGCGGUGAAAUGCGCAGAUAUCAGGGAGGAACACCGGUGGGCGGAAGGCGGGUCUCUGG
rnacentral:rRNA from 1 species